CUUCAAAUUUUAAUUAAUUAGUUAUAUAAAUACAUUGCUGUUUAUCAGCUAUAGCAAUAAACGGAUUUUGUAAUAAACUUAUCGGACCCGGGGGCGGUACCCGGCACCUCCACCAAAAAUUUAUGGGGGUGAAAUAGGAUCGACGAAAGUGUAAAGAUUUUCUUUUUGCUCGGCAUUGUACCACCGUUAUCGGGCUUAUUUAUAGUUGCAAAUGACGACUAUGCAGAGUUAGCUCUCGCUGCUUAAGUGCGAGCUGCUCAAUAUAACUCCUAAUUAGUUGCAUAAUUAGGCGGGGUUUGAGGAGCACCUGGCAACAGAAGCUCC
rnacentral:tmRNA from 1 species